UCAAUUUAUAUCUAUUGGGAUUGUGCUUUAAAAUUUCCUUUUCAUUUAUAUAUCGAUCUUAAUCGUCUUCUGUUACAAAUUUUCUCUUUUAAUAACAUUGCACAGGUCUCUUCUAUGUCGUGUAAUGAUUUGUGCAACAUUUGUUAACAAUUCAUAUCUCUUAAUCCGAACUUAUUUGCAGAGUUGAAUUCUUGUCAAUUUUUUAGAAACGUUUACUGAAGCCUGGCAAGUCUAGACAUUAAGUUUACUUGACUACACAUUUAAUCAUUAUAAGUUAUAUCUGCCAUGAGCAACCAUGUAAUCCACACAUAAUUAAUUUGAAUCACUGAUUUCACUUAAACAUUAAAAUCUUUCACUAAAAGUAGCAAAAAUGAGUUUGAACAAUAUUUGUUUAUAAAAAGAAGAAUGCAAGAAGAAAAUUGUUAAAUUAACAAUUAAGAUAAAUUAACGUCUCCCAGUGCAGUGAACUAUUGUAGAGUAACAAGUGUUCGAAAUUGCAGCGCAAGAGUGCCAGUUUGAAGUAACUGUGCAGAACAAUCAUCGUGACAGUUCAAGUGGAGAGGUUAGGGAACGUGACAACACACGCGUGUUGAUGUGCAAAAUAAUUAUAUUUACCACCCCGACCACAGUGCAUCAGCAUAACUGUUUCACAUUGAAAUCAAACGGGAGCGAAGAAAAUUGACACAGGCAUGUCUCAAGUAUUUGGGUUCUACAUCCUCAUUAUUUCUGUCUUGUGCAUGUCGGGAUGGUUGAUUCCACCCACGCAGGCAUGUGCCACCUGGAUGAAUUGUAAACAUCCCUUGGCGUUGAUGUUAUGCCCGAAUUACUGCAAAGAACGAAAUGGAAAAUAAAUCCAGCUGUGCAACAGUUUGCAUGUAUUCUGCACCGAUGACUUCAAUAUUGAGUGAUGCAGUUAUUAUUACAUUGGUAACCAUGGUGAACAGAAAAUAAAGAAAACAAAAAUUUUCCUGAGUC